rnacentral:rRNA from 1 species
CCUACGGGAGGCUGCAGUGGGGAAUAUUGGACAAUGGGGGCAACCCUGAUCCAGCCAUGCCGCGUGUGUGAAGAAGGCCCUCGGGUUGUAAAGCACUUUCAGUGAGGAAGAACGCCUGGUGGUUAAUACCCAUCAGGAAAGACAUCACUCACAGAAGAAGCACCGGCUAACUCCGUGCCAGCAGCCGCGGUAAUACGGAGGGUGCGAGCGUUAAUCGGAAUUACUGGGCGUAAAGCGCGCGUAGGUGGCUUGAUAAGCCGGUUGUGAAAGCCCCGGGCUCAACCUGGGAACGGCAUCCGGAACUGUCAAGCUAGAGUGCAGGAGAGGAAGGUAGAAUUCCCGGUGUAGCGGUGAAAUGCGUAGAGAUCGGGAGGAAUACCAGUGGCGAAGGCGGCCUUCUGGACUGACACUGACACUGAGGUGCGAAAGCGUGGGUAGAAAACAGGAUUAGCUACCCCUGUAGUC